rnacentral:rRNA from 1 species
AAUGAACGCUGGCGGCAUGCCUUACACAUGCAAGUCGAACGGCAGCAUGACCUAGCUUGCUAGGUUGAUGGCGAGUGGCGAACGGGUGAGUAAUGCAUCGGAACGUGCCUUUUAGUGGGGGAUAACGUAGCGAAAGUUACGCUAAUACCGCAUAUUCUCUGAGGAGGAAAGCAGGGGGCCUUCGGGCCUUGCGCUAGAAGAGCGGCCGAUGUCGGAUUAGCUAGUUGGUGAGGUAAAGGCUCACCAAGGCAACGAUCCGUAGCGGGUCUGAGAGGAUGAUCCGCCACACUGGGACUGAGACACGGCCCAGACUCCUACGGGAGGCAGCAGUGGGGAAUUUUGGACAAUGGGCGCAAGCCUGAUCCAGCCAUGCCGCGUGAGUGAAGAAGGCCUUCGGGUUGUAAAGCUCUUUCGGCUGGGAAGAAAUCGCACUCUCUAAUACAGGGUGUGGAUGACGGUACCAGCAUAAGAAGCACCGGCUAACUACGU